rnacentral:rRNA from 1 species
CCUACGGGAGGCUGCAGUGGGGAAUAUUGCACAAUGGGCGCAAGCCUGAUGCAGCCAUGCCGCGUGUGUGAAGAAGGCCUUCGGGUUGUAAAGCACUUUCAGCGGGGAGGAAGGCGGUGAGGUUAAUAACCUCAUCGAUUGACGUUACCCGCAGAAGAAGCACCGGCUAACUCCGUGCCAGCAGCCGCGGUAAUACGGAGGGUGCAAGCGUUAAUCGGAAUUACUGGGCGUAAAGCGCACGCAGGCGGUCUGUCAAGUCGGAUGUGAAAUCCCCGGGCUCAACCUGGGAACUGCAUUCGAAACUGGCAGGCUAGAGUCUUGCAGAGGGGGGUAGAAUUCCCGGUGUAGCGGUGAAAUGCGUAGAGAUCUGGAGGAAUACCGGUGGCGAAGGCGGCCCCCUGGACAAAGACUGACGCUCAGGUGCGAAAGCGUGGGGAGCAAACAGGAUUAGAUACCCGAGUAGUC